rnacentral:piRNA from 1 species
UAGAGAUCAUUUUAGCAUUUGCCGUACA